UUUCCGUAGGUGAACCUGCGGAAGGAUCAUUAAAGUUAUAAUCCCCCGGCCGUCUGGGCUGGGGUCUUCUAUUCCACCUAUUGUUUAUUGUACCCUUGUUGCUUUGGCACGCCUCCCCUCCGGCUCCUGGCUCCGGCCGGAUCGCGUCUGCCAGAGGACCUAUACUCUGUUUUUGUAUGAAGUCUGAGUACUAUAUAAUAGUUAAAACUUUCAACAACGGAUCUCUUGGCUCUC
rnacentral:misc_RNA from 1 species